rnacentral:rRNA from 1 species
AGCAGCCGCGGUAAUUCCAGCUCCAAUAGCGUAUAUUAAAGUUGUUGCAGUUAAAAAGCUCGUAGUUGAACUUCGGAAUUUAAUUAUUGGUCAGGCUUAACUGUCUGUACUGGUAAUAUGAAUUCCUACCUUCUGAGGAAUUAUCAUGCCAUUUAUUUGGUGUGGUAGGGAAUCAGGACUGUUACUUUGAAAAAAUUAGAGUGUUUAAAGCAGGCUAACGUCUGAAUACAUUAGCAUGGAAUAAUAGAAUAGGACGGAUUGGUUCUAUUUUGUUGGUUUCUAGGAUCACCGUAAUGAUUAAUAGGGAUAGUUGGGGGCAUUAGUAUUCAAUUGUCAGAGGUGAAAUUCUUGGAUUUAUUGAAGACUAACUACUGCGAAAGCAUUUGCCAAGGAUGUUUUCAUUAAUCAAGAACGAAAGUUAGGGGAUCGAAGACGAUCAGAUACCGUCGU